UACGUAGGUGGCAAGCGUUGUCCGGAAUUAUUGGGCGUAAAGAGCUCGUAGGUGGUUUGUUACGUCUGCUGUGAAAUCCUAGGGCUUAACCCUGGGCUUGCAGUGGAUACGGGCAGACUAGAGGUAGGUAGGGGAGAAUGGAAUUCCUGGUGUAGCGGUGAAAUGCGCAGAUAUCAGGAGGAACACCGGUGGCGAAGGCGGUUCUCUGGGCCUUACCUGGCACUGAGGAGCGAAAGCGUGGGGAGCGAACAGG
rnacentral:rRNA from 1 species